GCGCGAGAGCACCCGUACCACGCGCGCGCCGCUCGCCGCCGUCCCCGCCGCGCGUCCCCACCGAGAAGCCCCCGGGCGUGUCCCCGCGGGAGAGGCCGCUCCCGCCCGGCCCUUGGCUCCCGAGGAUGCCGACGGCCUCGCCGUCCCGAGUGCCCCAGCAGGUCCCCGUCGCCCCGACGGCCUCAGCUGGGGCCCCGGCGCCCGCCCCCCCCGCCCCAUUGGCCCCAGCUCUGUAUUUCAGCUCCGGCCGGGGGGGCUGCUGUUUCCUUGGGGCUGGGGCUGUGCUGGGAGCUCUCUCGUGCCUCGCGAGCUGGGACGGGCUCGUUGCCGUCUGCGUUUGCUGCUGCUGGCGUGGUGUUACGGGGCUGCCUUUGCCUCCUGCCUCGGUACUGGGGGGCUCUGCCUGGCUCUGGGCGGGCUCUGGUUCCCUGCUGCCCCGAGGUGCGAGUUUGUUUGUCCUCCAGAUUCACGGAGCUCUGUCUGCGGUACCUGAGGUGGUGGCAGCGUGGGGGUGAACGUUCUGGUGGUGUCACUUCUGCUGCUGGUUUGAGCAAGGCUGGGGCACGUUCUGGUUCCAGCACGCCUGUAACGCUGCCUUAGCGCUUACCCCCCGAGACCCUCGGGCUGGUGCCAGCAUUGUGGCAGAGCUCCUGGCCCUCCUGAUCUCUGGCCUAGGGCCUAGGCUCUGGUCUAGGCUCUAUUUAAGCCUAGCCCAGGUCCAAGGGCAGGUUUGGUGCCGCGUACCCCUGGAGCGGGACCGUGGGGAGCCCCUGCGCGCAGGGAUGCUUUUUCCAGGUAAAAAGCACAGGGGCUUCUGGUGAUGCCACACAUCUGCAAGCCCCCCUUGCACGCUGAUUAAAUUAGUGCCAGGGCGUGCAAGGCUGCAGUACUGACCCGUUCUUGGAUUGGGGGGGUGGCAGUGGCUGCCUCAGACCUAAAUGGCUCCGUGGUUCAAAGGCUGGGGGGACACACACGCACCCCCCCCACACCCCCAGCAAGGACCCUGGCUGUGACGGGGGAAGCAGCCGUGUUGCUGCUGGCCGUGCCGAUGGAAACGGGCUCCGGGCUCUCACCAAGAGCAGGCUGGGGCUGCGCCGAGCACCCCCGUGGGAGAGGGGCGAGAGGAGAGGGUUGGGGAACUUGCUCUUACCUGGGUGGCCCCAGGAACGGCUGUCCCCUUACAAGGGCUGCAAUCCUGUUUGAAGGGUUGCUUGUCAAGAGGUGCUAAUUAACGCAGUUGCCCUGCUGAGCGUGGGUAAUUUGCAUGCCGGGAGUGGGAGCUGUGGCUGUUGGUGUGGCCAAGUGGAGAGGCUUGGAGAGGUGAGGGGGAAGCCAACCCCCUGGGGGCUGGCAGAGGUCCCUCGAGGAGCAACGAGGAGAUGGGGAGAAGCUGCAAGUUAAUUGAGCUGGGCAAGGGGCUUCCACAGCAUUGCUCUACUCAUCCUAGGAGCUGUGGUGUGACCUCAUCAAGCUGACGCUAUGACAACUGACCCUGACCUUGCAGUCCCUCGCUAGGUGAGGGUGUCUGUCCUGCCCUUGCCCCUGAAGAAAGAGGGGGACUGUCUGCAGGGGCUGAGGGACCUCAGGGGUCAAGGUGGGAUGAGUCUCAAGGUCAUGGCCAACAGGACACCGGUGCCUUGAGCCAGUGACCUGCGGAACACCCUCACCGCCUGCAGACUGGAGGGACUUCAAGUGCAGGGGGUGAGAGUUGCAUUAGUUAGGUGGACGUUGAACAGUUGGUAGGGGCUGUUGCCAGCGUUUGAUACGCUAAUAGACACCUCUCCUGGUUUCAAGGCAUUUAAUUCCAUAAUGAUAGGUGGCUUUAGACUAAAAUCACUUGCCACAUGGCAUUAAAAUCUGAGGACAAGGGUUUUUUGAGAACUUUGGCCUCACCCCGUCCUUGUAGCAUGACUGGAUCUCAAACCUGUUGACUAAUUCUAGCUUUCUGACAUGGUACAUGAAAGGCGCCAGGAGCACUGCAUUGCCGGGAAAGCCCUGUUCUGCCUUGGAAGGAAAACAUCAACCCUGCCUUUGGAAGGGAAGAGUUGCUGUACUCUUUGUUUUCAACUGUCACUGAAACUGAAGCCUAAAAUCCUCAGGUUUGUGGUGAUGGAGACCUUGGAGUGCAGGUGCAAACCAGAAUAAACCUUUUCGGAGCUGGAACAGGCACGCAUGGAUAACUUGCGGUAGGUGCAUGCAAUGGUAGCUCCUGGUAGCUGCCCUCACAGAGGUCUUGGAGUGGUGGUGACCUGCUGACAUGAUGCUUCAUGCCAACCAGGGCCAAAAGGGAUCCUCGGGACAGAGGAGAUGACAGCUUACCAUGCCACCAGAACUGCUGGGUCCCUCCACGUCGCUGGUGCUGCCUGCCGCUCUCCCCUUCACCCCCGACGGGACGCAGCGUGCCUGGAAAACCGCGGGAAAAGGGGGCGCGGUGCUUGCUUUGAGGUUUUACCGCUCAGCCGCCCAGACCCACCUCGUUUAAUGAGAAACUCCUCGCUUCUCUGCUGGGCGCGCGUCUGAAGAGCAAAAGGCAGGAUGGAGCGAGCACGCUCGGCGUUCUGCACGGCUCUGCCGCGUUCAGCGCUCAUCCCUUUCCUGCAGCGAGCCCAGUGCUCUCCUGGCAGCGCUAGACGAUGCAGCGGGGUGAACCCUCCGGAGGGAAGAUACCCCAAGCAUUAACGUCUUCGAACGCGUCCCAGGCGCCAGGCAACAGCUGGCUGAGGUUUUUAGCUAAAAUUCGAACCAGCCUGCGACACAUCGAACAGAGAGGUUUUAGAUUUGGAAGCAUAAAGGUGGACUCGGCGUUGAGCUAAAGGAGCGUAGCGACAAGCACGAAGGAAGCAGCCUAAACUCGUGGAGAAUUACAGCUUACGUCUGUUGUGUUACAGCUAUCACCUAUAAAACCGAUGCAGAAAACAUUUUGUCUGUGUUUCUUUGCUACCACGGCGCUGGGUAACUUCCUUUUUGCCGUGUGACCACGGGCUGGCGCAGCUCCGGCUCAAAGCACCGUUGCCGUAC